AUUUAAAUAGUUUAAAAAAAACGUUAGUUUGUGGAACUAAAUUUGUAAAGUAUUACUUUAAGUA
rnacentral:tRNA from 1 species